rnacentral:rRNA from 1 species
CACGGGGGGAGCAAGCGUUGUUCGGAAUCACUGGGCGUAAAGGGCUCGUAGGCGGCCAACUAAGUCAGACGUGAAAUCCCUCGGCUUAACCGGGGAACUGCGUCUGAUACUGGAUGGCUAGAGUUUGGGAGAGGGAUGCGGAAUUCCAGGUGUAGCGGUGAAAUGCGUAGAUAUCUGGAGGAACACCGGUGGCGAAGGCGGCAUCCUGGACCAACACUGACGCUGAGGAGCGAAAGCCAGGGGAGCAAACGGG